AAAAAAUACCACCAAAAUAUUAAACUAUAUAUUAGUAGCAUUGAAAAGUUGCUCCGUUAUAGAUUUCUACCAUCCACGUUAAAUCAACGUUUGAUCUGAUGAAAAUAUAAUAAAAUCAAUUAAAAAUAGAAAAACUCCGCGCGCACACACGUUAGGCCUAAGGGGUGUUUUGUUUUCUAGAAAAUAAUUUUUAGUCUCUUUAUUUUAUUUUAUUUUAUUUUAGACUCUACAUUGUCAAAUACGGAAACUUAGAAAAAAAAACUCACGCGCACACACACCUGUAGCCUAAGAGGGUGUUUGUUUUCUAGGGAAUAAUUCUUAGAAGUUUUAGUUUCUGUAUUUAACAAUUUAGAGACUAAAUGAAAUAAAAUAGAGGGAUUAAUCCCUAGAAACCAAACACCCUCAAACCCAGCCCACUCAUGCAAGCAUCCUGGAAACACGCACGCACCAGCCGCACAGGAAACGAAGGCGACGGCCCGCGGCGUGCUUCCUCGGAGGUUGCAGCUGCUCUUUAUCUUUUAUUCUCCAUGAUGCACACCUCUGCUUCCUUCCCUCAUUUUGCCUCUUGUUACUCUCCUUCUCGUGCUCUGGUUUCUUGAUUUAAAACCUAGUUUUGGGGGAUUUUGCAAUGCCAAGACAAGGCAGUGGGGAUUUGAGCAGGGAUGGAUGUCGACGAAGUUCCUGAAAGGAUCUAUCCGAAGAAUGCUUGUAGAGUUGAGGUCAAUGUCAAUGCAUACUUCAGCUUUAAAGAUGGAAAAAAGAAAGGUGUACGAUCGAGGUAGGAUUGUGAGCUGGGUUGUUGAUUCAGAAGAGUAUGCCAUCAUUGAUCUGGAAAAGGAUAUCACUCCAUACUUUACAUGGAACGACAAUCAUAAGGCAAAUUUCUGGGUUCUAACUGGUUCUGAUUUGACAUGCUUUUUAACUUCAGAUAGUCAGCUUAUUGACUUACUAAGGGCAUCUCAACUAGUGAAGUUCCUAAUGAUAGUGAGCAGGUGUGAGGGGAAUGAGAUGCCUGUUGCAGUGAACAUGAUGUCGAGGACAUACCUAGUGCAACGAAUGUUGUUGAGGAUAUGCAAAUUGGGGAAUUUAAAUGGGCAGAAGUAGCAGAAUAUGGAGAAACAACUGCAGGUCCACUGAUGGUUGAAGAGGACGAAAAGGAACACUUCAUGACUGUUGGAUGUGAUUGAAAGAAAAAUAUGCCCUUAGGUCAUUUCCAUAUUGUUUUGAUGAUUGGAAGCACAACACACUUGGUGAGAACUAACAAAUGUUAAGCAAAGUGACAGGAACUCAAUUAAGACAAGUCCAAAAAGAGCAAAAGGAGUUCAGCUGAAACGAGUACUGCACCAGCUGCGGGUGCACCGGACAAUGUACGGUGCCCAGGCUGGCUCAGCAACAAACUCGCUGCUCUCGGGAAUCGCCGAGGACGCUGAUGCUAAAAUUCACCGGAGUGUCCGGUGGGCACCGGACUGUCCGGUGAGCCAACAACGUCCAAGCCAACGGUCGGCAGCGCGAUCGGCGCGCAAUUAACGGGGAUGCAUGGCCAGAGGCAACGGUCACUAGGCCGCACCAGACUGUCCAGUGUGCACCGGACAGUGUCCGGUGUGCCAAGGGGACCGAGGGUUCAACGGUCGGCUUCGCCAAAGAAGGAAACAAAUCGUGCACUGUUCAUGUCCGUUGGAUGUGAUCCUCAUGGAGAUGAGCCAACUGGAAUAGAUGAAGAGUGGAUGUACUACAAAAAUUUAGAUUCUGUGUUUCAUGAUGCAAAUCCAAUAGAGGUGCAGAAAAAAAAAGACAUAGACUUCGAUACUGAAUGUGUUCCUGAAGAUGAGUUUACUAUGAUAGAUGAUUGUGUUGUGCCUCACACAACACAUCAUAGUGAGAAUCUAAUCAUUAAGGAAGGCUAAACAUGAAGAGCCGAGGGCUGCACUAUGAUAUCAAGAAAAGUGGUCCCAUGUCAGCUGAAAUAUCAGGUACAAUAAAGGAAGGGAAGACUUGGAGGUAUGGGGUUGACCUUGCCAAAAGAGAAUGUGGUUCUGGAUAAUGGGAGUUGUCAGGGAAACCAUGGACUCAUGCUAUAUACUUAUUUGGGACAGUGAAACAGCGCAUGAGACAACUAAACAUUGAGGAUUUUGUGCAUGACUACUAUUCAGUAGAGAGGUUCAAGAUGGUGUAUCAGUUUCAGAUUAAUCUAAUGAGUGACAAGUCUGGAUGGCCAAAGGUUGAUGUUGGGAUUGAAAUGAUUCCUCUACCACUGCAGAGGGCUGCUGGUAUACCUAGGAAGCAAAGGAUCAAGGCUAGUGGAGAGCCAGGAAAACGAGGACCACAUCAAUGCAAAAGGUGCUUUCAAUUUGGACACGUUGAGAAGGGUUGUAAUGCAACUCAAGCUGAAUUAGCUUCCACCACAUCGUCCAAAAAAGGAAAAAACCCAAGGAAAAGCAAUCAUGAAGAUGAAGCUGUUGAAGCCUCUAGAUAUGAUGCUCAGGCAUCCACGUCAGUUGUUGAACCAUCUCCAAUGCCUCAUUCAAGUGCAGGGAUAACUACUAGAAGGAUGGCGUCUCUAUCUCCAACUAGCCCAGGUGUAACAACUAGAAAAAUGGCUACUAUUUCACCUGGUGGUUUCUGUCAGAGGCUCAUCAUUGAGUAGAUGAAUUAGCAAACUUAGUAUUCCACUUUUGAUUUUUUUUAAU